rnacentral:rRNA from 1 species
UACGAAGGGGGCUAGCGUUGCUCGGAAUCACUGGGCGUAAAGCGCACGUAGGCGGACUCUUAAGUCGGUGGUGAAAUCCUGGAGCUCAACUCCAGAACUGCCUUCGAUACUGGGAGUCUUGAGUCCGGGAGAGGUGAGUGGAACUGCGAGUGUAGAGGUGAAAUUCGUAGAUAUUCGCAAGAACACCAGUGGCGAAGGCGGCUCACUGGCCCGGUACUGACGCUGAGGUGCGAAAGCGUGGGGAGCAAACAGG